rnacentral:lncRNA from 1 species
AAAAUAAAAAUAUCAAACUGCUCAAUCUUCUUUAACCAUGGAUCCAUCACCAAUCAAGUGAUUUAUUUUCCCCUCAGGGUGCUCAAAGAAGUCUACCAUAUCCAAGUGGGUGAUGUCAAAACUAUUGUCAGAGACAAAAUUGGUUUCAGGGCCUUUACUCUUUAGAGAUGCUUGAUAAAGCUCAACCAAAUGUCUUGGUACACGGCAAAUUUUUGCCC